rnacentral:miRNA from 1 species
UGUGUGUAUACAUGUGUGUGUGUAUACUUAUUCAGUGUAUAUAUUCGUACAUACACACACACACACACACACACACACACACACACACACACAUAU